AGAAGAAAAUGGAUAAUUGGCUGUAUAUUGAUGUAGAAAGUGAAACGAAUAUCCCUCCACGUUAUGUAUUGAAUUCUACUUUCUUCAAUAUUGCAGUGAACUGAUUCACUCACCAAAAUAAAUUUCAUCCGUGUACAGAACGUCUUGUUGUAUUAAAAAGUUAUGGCUUUACCAGGGCCCAGCGCCUUUACGUGGGGAUUUAUGAUUGAAGAUAUUUUCCAACAAGAAAUAACUAAAAUAGCUGUUAUUGAUUAAAAAAGCGAUGAUUAUACUGUAUGAGCACUCUAUUUAAUGAAACUGUAGCAUCUGUAUAACAGGAACUGCUUUAUGUACUUUGUUUAUCACAAGUAAGGCUAAAAUUGUGUAGGUCAGCUCAAAGUCAUUAAUGAUUUAAUAAAAAUAUGAAAAUUAUUUUAACACACGUACAACUGUAACGAUUUUAUUUAAAGGAGCAUGUGAAGAUUACUCAGACAAAAAAUUUUGUAUGUAUAAAAACAAGUAGUUUCGAAUGUUCAUUUUUUGUGAAUGCUGUUUUGCAAAGUUAGAAGAUUCUAUUCCAUUUGGCAACGCUACGUAAUUAAACAUGUUGUCACUACAGUUUAUAAAAGCACUUGAUGCUCAAUGCAGUUGAACACCGAUACAAAAUAUAAUUAUGCUCAAGCUGUGUCUAAAAUGAACCAAACAAUAGCAAAAUUAUUGGCAAAACAUAGAACACUGAAUACCCAUUUAACCAAUAAAGCAACAUAUAGUAAUAGGACACGGCUUUCGGUUCUAAUCAUUUUUUUUCCGUCAAGUGUUCUCUUGUUGCUUAAAGACUUUGAAAGGUAUUAUCCAAACUAAGAACAGCACGAAUCCAUUUAGUAAACUCAAGCUGUUAAGAAGCUUGAUGUCUGUGCUUAAAAACACUUGAUGCUUGAUGGUAUAAAUAUAGCUGUGCCAUAGGAAUGAUGUACUGGCAGUAAAUCUACUUUGAAACUUGAAGAAUUGGACGUCAAGCUUGUCUUGGGCUGUUGUGUAAAGUAUGAAAGGGUUGAAAUAUGGCCUUGUUCUUUUCUUCAUAUUGUGUUUUUUUUCUUCCUGCUGUGCAAAAUGGUUGUGGUUGAAUGGCGAAUCUUUGGAGAAUCCAAUUGAACUGGAAAACAAAAAGGAAAAGCGUUAGCUGCGUCACCAUAUGAAAAAAAGAAGAUGUCGUUUAUCUGGAGUAAUGUUUUGUAAAGGAAGACGUUCAAAAAUCUUUAUGGACAAUAAUAAAUCUAUUCAUUAAUGUGUAUUGUUCAUUGUUCGUUUAUUAUCAGCUUAUUCUAUCAAACACUAAAAUCAUACAAAUAUAAUUGUAUGAAAAUAUAAUGUGUAUGUGUGAA